rnacentral:rRNA from 1 species
UGGGGAAUCUUGCGCAAUGGCCGAAAGGCUGACGCAGCGACGCCGCGUGUGGGAUGAAGCAUUUCGGUGUGUAAACCACUGUUGCCCGGGACGAACAGCCUGUUUCGACAGGUCUGACGGUACCGGGUGAGGAAGCACCGGCUAACUCCGUGCCAGCAGCCGCGGUAAUACGGAGGGUGCGAGCGUUGUCCGGAAUCAUUGGGCGUAAAGGGCGCGUAGGUGGCGCGGUAAGCGUGCGGUGAAAGCUCGGGGCUCAACCCCGAGUCGGCCGUGCGAACUGCUGGGCUUGAGCACUGUAGAGGCAGGCGGAGUUCCGGGUGUAGCGGUGGAAUGCGUAGAGAUCCGGAAGAACACCGGUGGCGAAGGCGGCCUGCUGGGCAGUUGCUGACACUGAGGCGCGACAGCGUGGGGAGCAAACAGGAUUAGAUACC